AUCUAACUGAUGAGUCCCAAAUAGAACGAAACACGCGUCUUCGAU
rnacentral:hammerhead_ribozyme from 1 species